UGAGGGGGGCUGCUCCUAGUACGAGAGGACCGGAGUGGACGCAUCACUGGUGUUCGGGUUGUCAUGCCAAUGGCACUGCCCGGUAGCUAAAUGCGGAAGAGAUAAGUGCUGAAAGCAUCUAAGCACGAAACUUGCCCCGAGAUGAGUUCUCCCUGACUCCUUGAGAGUCCUGAAGGAACGUUGAAGACGACGACGUUGAUAGGCCUGGUGUGUAAGCGCAGCGAUGCGUUGAGCUAACCGGUACUAAUGAACCGUGAGGCUUAACCUUACAACGCCGAAG
rnacentral:rRNA from 1 species